rnacentral:rRNA from 1 species
CCUACGGGUGGCAGCAGUGGGGAAUAUUGCACAAUGGGGGAAACCCUGAUGCAGCGACGCCGCGUGAGUGAGGAAGUAUUUCGGUAUGUAAAGCUCUAUCAGCAGGGAAGAAAAUGACUGUACCUGACUAAGAAUCCCCGGCUAACUACGUUCCAGCAGCCGCGGUAAUACGUAGGGGGCAAGGGUUAUCCGGUUUUACUGGGUGUAAAGGGAGCGUAGAGGGACUUGCAAGCCUGAUGUGAAACUCCGGGGCCCAACCCCGGAACUUCAGCGGAACCUGUAUAUUGAGAGUGAGGGAGAGGCAAGUGGAAUUCCUGGUGUAGCGGUGAAAUGCGUAGAUAUCAGGAGGAACACCAGUGGCGAAGGCGGCUUGCUGGACGAUGACUGACGUUGAGGCUCGAAAGCGUGGGGAGCAAACAGGAUUAGAUACCCCUGUAGUC